rnacentral:misc_RNA from 1 species
GUAGGUGAACCUGCGGAAGGAUCAUUACAAAUUAUGGCGAACUUCGCGUCUCGCGAGGUUUUGCGUCCAAACUUUAUUUAAAACAUCCCACUCUUUAAAAAAAAAAAAUUAUCUAAUGAUAAAUAAAAAGAUCACUUUCAACAACGGAUCUCUUGGUUCUC